AACGAACGCUGGCGGCAUGCCUAACACAUGCAAGUCGAACGAGACCUUCGGGUCUAGUGGCGCACGGGUGCGUAACGCGUGGGAACCUGCCCUUAGGUUCGGAAUAACUCCCCGAAAGGGGUGCUAAUACCGGAUAAUGUCUUCGGACCAAAGAUUUAUCGCCUUUGGAUGGGCCCGCGUUGGAUUAGCUAGUUGGUAGGGUAAAAGCCUACCAAGGCGACGAUCCAUGGCUGGUCGGAGAGGAUGAUCAGCCACACUGGGACUGAGACACGGCCCAGACUCGUACGGGAGGCAGCAGUGGGGAAUAUUGGACAAUGGGCGAAAGCCUGAUACAGCAAUGCCGCGUGAGUGAUGAAGGCCUUAGGGUUGUAAAGCUCUUUUACCCGGGAUGAUAAUGACGGUACCGGGAGAAUAAGCUCCGGCUAACUCCGUG
rnacentral:rRNA from 1 species